CCUACGGGAGGCAGCAGUGAGGAAUAUUGGUCAAUGGACGAGAGUCUGAACCAGCCAAGUAGCGUGAAGGAUGACUGCCCUAUGGGUUGUAAACUUCUUUUAUAUGGGAAUAAAAUGUUCCACGUGUGGGAUUUUGUAUGUACCAUAUGAAUAAGGAUCGGCUAACUCCGUGCCAGCAGCCGCGGUAAUACGGAGGAUCCGAGCGUUAUCCGGAUUUAUUUGGUUUAAAGGGAGCGUAGGUGGAUUGUUAAGUCAGUUGUGAAAGUUUGCGGCUCAACCGUAAAAUUGCAGUUGAAACUGGCAGUCUUGAGUACAGUAGAGGUGGGCGGAAUUCGUGGUGUAGCGGUGAAAUGCUUAGAUAUCACGAAGAACUCCGAUGACGAAGACAGCUCACUGGACUGCAACUGACACUGAGGCUCGAAAGUGUGGGUAUCAAACAGGAUUAGAUACCCGAGUAGUC
rnacentral:rRNA from 1 species